rnacentral:rRNA from 1 species
GACGAACGCUGGCGGCGUGCUUAACACAUGCAAGUCGAACGGAAAGGCCCUGCUUGCAGGGUACUCGAGUGGCGAACGGGUGAGUAACACGUGGGUGAUCUGCCCUGCACUUCGGGAUAAGCCUGGGAAACUGGGUCUAAUACCGGAUAGGAGCCAUUUUUAGUGUGAUGGUUGGAAAGUUUUUUCGGUGUAGGAUGAGCUCGCGGCCUAUCAGCUUGUUGGUGGGGUAAUGGCCUACCAAGGCGGCGACGGGUAGCCGGCCUGAGAGGGUGGACGGCCACAUUGGGACUGAGAUACGGCCCAGACUCCUACGGGAGGCAGCAGUGGGGAAUAUUGCACAAUGGGCGCAAGCCUGAUGCAGCGACGCCGCGUGGGGGAUGACGGCCUACGGGUUGUAAACUCCUUUCGCUAGGGACGAAGCUUUUUGUGACGGUACCUAGAUAAGAAGCACCGGCUAACUACGUG